UACAGAGGUCUCAAGCGUUGUUCGGAAUCACUGGGCGUAAAGGGUGCGUAGGCGGCACGGUAAGUCAGAGGUGAAAUCCCGGAGCUCAACUUCGGAAUUGCCUCCGAUACUGCCGUGCUUGAGGACUGGAGAGGAGAUUGGAAUUCACAGUGGAGCAGUGAAAUGCGCAGAUAUUGUGAGGAACACUAGUGGCGAAGGCGAAUCUCUGGACAGUUCCUGACGCUGAGGCACGAAGGCCAGGGGAGCAAACGGG
rnacentral:rRNA from 1 species